GGCUAGGGGGUGGAAGAAGGAAGAAGGGGCGGCGCCGUGGGUGUGGGUGGAAGAAGAGGCGGCGGAGGUGGGGUGGAAGAAGGGGCGGCCCCUGGGGCGUGGGGGUGGAAGAAGGGGCAAUACGAGGGCGUGGGGGUGCGUGACCGGUGGCACCGGAGGUCGUUGUGGAGGUGUAGGUGGCAGCCGACGGGUAUUCGACGCGGUGGCCGGUGGGGCGGAUGGGGUCGCGUUCGGGAAGGGGACAGGAUAAGGAGGCGGACCUGGGGCCGCUGGCUGCCUAGACUCGGGGGGACGGAAGGGCGCGGAAGAGGUACCGGAGGAGGGGGCGGUCACCGAUUGAGUAGUUCGAGCUGGAGCGACCUUAGGGCGCCGUUUGGUGCUGGGGCUCCCCUGGGGUGGGUGAAGGUCACCGAGUCAGGUGGUACGGAGGUGGUGCUUUGCCGGCGGCCGCUGCGGGUUCUAGAACCUAGGUCCCGGUGGGGCUGCUCCGCGCGCCGGAGUAGACGGGUGAUGGUAGGAAGAGGCAAGAAAAAGACGUCCCUCGUGGUGGAGUCGGGGGCACGUCAGGCCACCCGCGCACGCACGUUGCGCGACACACGCCGCGGCCUAGUCGUGACGGGGUACGUCACGCCCGCCACUCGUGCACGUCAGGCCACCCGCGCACGCACGUCGCGCGACUCACGUCCGCGGCCUAGUCGUGGCCAUGUACGAGAGAGACGGCGCGCUCUCUCGGACCAGGAUCACCACGUCAGGCCACAGACGCCUUGUACGUCGAGCGAUCGAGUAACGUGCGACAAGGCCGCCGCGCCCUUUCGUCAUGUUCCGGUGCGGGCAUAGGCUCACCACGUCGAGCCACGACAACAGGCACGUCAAACGACAACAUAAGCUGUUGUUACCGUUGUCUUCGAACCAGGGGCGAUCUGAUCCUUGUAUACCUUGGCUAACACAGAACGACUACCUUUUCUCCAUUAUUAUGUUCCUCAAGAAGUCUGACCCAUCACAACAGUGGACUCUUCCCCUACCCUCAAGUCUGACUUGUACUUGUGCUAUCCAUCAACGAGUCAAAUUCUAUAACCUAAGUCAAUGUCGGUGUAGUUACUAAAUUUAUUUUAUAGUGUUUUCUACACCUUGGGUCCGGAUAUAUUUCCAAUGUACGUACGUAACGAUCCGACGAUCGUGGAACCUGAACACCUCGGUACCCGUCCCGUACUCUUCGUAACCGGUUGAACAAGCACCGAUUUGACAUGAGAAAACAAAACAAAUCUGAUUCGUGUGAGAAGAAUCUAUUAGACAUAAUAGUCGGGGUGUAGUUCACGUGUGUGAGAAAACAAAAGAUAAUGACAAUAAAACAAACACGUUAAGAACCUUCCCUUCCGUAGUUUGUCCCCGCAAGCUGCCGCUCGACGAGGGCCGGCUGACGUCCCUGUUCCCAGCACACGGGCACGCCCACGUCAAACGAGGUGAAGAGCUACCCCAAGCGAACGGAUCCACGACAUCACACGGACCUCCAAAAGAAGAGGAGCCCACGCACUUCCAAACCGACAGCACGCCCGUACCCGUACGUCAAGUGGCCCCUGGAUGUCUUCUUUCUUUUUUACCAAUACGUAAUACGUCACGUCAAUUAACGACCCCAUGAGUUCACGGUAAAAGAUCAACUACUCACGUAAUACGUCACGUUAAUUGUAGAGUUUCUUCGAGCGAAGGAUAAUAUACGUCAAUUGAACGAGUUAGAGACGCAUACACACGUUUUUUAUUAUUCAUCUCCAAGCAAAGUAACAAGAGUUCGCC
rnacentral:rRNA from 1 species